UACGUAGGGUGCAAGCGUUGUCCGGAAUUAUUGGGCGUAAAGAGCUCGUAGGCGGUCUGUCGCGUCGGCUGUGAAAACUCGGGGCUCAACUCCGAGCUGCAGUCGAUACGGGCAGGCUAGAGUUCGGCAGGGGAGACUGGAAUUCCUGGUGUAGCGGUGAAAUGCGCAGAUAUCAGGAGGAACACCGGUGGCGGAAGGCGGGUCUCUGGGCCGAUACUGACGCUGAGGAGCGAAAGCGUGGGGAGCGAACAGG
rnacentral:rRNA from 1 species